CCUACGGGGGGCAGCAGUGGGGAAUAUUGGACAAUGGGGGCAACCCUGAUCCAGCCAUGCCGCGUGUGUGAAGAAGGCCCUCGGGUUGUAAAGCACUUUCAGUGAGGAAGAACGCCUGGUGGUUAAUACCCAUCAGGAAAGACAUCACUCACAGAAGAAGCACCGGCUAACUCCGUGCCAGCAGCCGCGGUAAUACGGAGGGUGCGAGCGUUAAUCGGAAUUACUGGGCGUAAAGCGCGCGUAGGUGGCUUGAUAAGCCGGUUGUGAAAGCCCCGGGGUCAACCUGGGAACGGCAUCCGGAACUGUCAAGCUAGAGUGCAGGAGAGGAAGGUAGAAUUCCCGGUGUAGCGGUGAAAUGCGUAGAGAUCGGGAGGAAUACCAGUGGCGAAGGCGGCCUUCUGGACUGACACUGACACUGAGGUGCGAAAGCGUGGGUAGCAAACAGGAUUAGAUACCCCUGUAGUC
rnacentral:rRNA from 1 species